rnacentral:rRNA from 1 species
GACGAACGCUGGCGGCGUGCCUAAAACAUGCAAGUCGAACGAGGGAGCAAUCCCUAGUGGCGAACGGCGGAGUAAUACUUGAACAACGUGCCCUGAAGUCCGGGACAAACGCAGAAAUGUCAUAAAUACCGGAUGUGGCCCCUUAUCGGCAUCGAUGAGGGAUUAAAUGGUUUUUCGCUUCAGGAGCGGUUCAUGGCCUAUCAGGUAGUUGGUGGGGUAAUGGCCUACCAAGCCGACGACAGGUAGCGGGUCUGAGAGGAUGAUCCGCUCGAGUGGGACUGAGACACGGCCCACACACCUACGGGUGGCAG